ensembl:snoRNA SNORA73 Small nucleolar RNA SNORA73 family
CCAACGUGGAUACCCUAGAGCUCUCUACCCAGGCUCUCUCCAAGUGGUGUAGGGGAGCAUAGGGCUUUGCCCCAUGAUAUACAGUCCCUUUCCACAACACUGGAGAUGAAGCUGGGCCUUGAGUCUGCCCCUGCACAUUCCGACACUUCCCAGAGUCCUGUGGACAAUGACUGGGGAGACAAACCAUGCAGGAAGCCCCC